GACGAACGCUGGCGGCGUGCUUAACACAUGCAAGUCGAACGGAAAGGCCCUGCUUUUGUUGGGUGCUCGAGUGGCGAACGGGUGAGUAACACGUGAGUAACCUGCCCUUGACUUUGGGAUAACUUCAGGAAACUGGGGCUAAUACCGGAUAGGAGCUCCUGCUGCAUGGUGGGGGUUGGAAAGUUUCGGCGGUUGGGGAUGGACUCGCGGCUUAUCAGCUUGUUGGUGGGGUAGUGGCUUACCAAGUCUUUGACGGGUAGCCGGCCUGAGAGGGUGACCGGGCACAAUGGGACUGAGAUACGGCCCAGACUCCUACGGGAGGCAGCAGGGGGGAAUAUUGCACAAUGGGCGGAAGCCUGAUGCAGCAACGCCGCGUGCGGGAUGACGGCCUUCGGGUUGUAAACCGCUUUCGCCUGUGACGAAGCGUGAGUGACGGUAAUGGGUAAAGAAGCACCGGCUAACUACGUG
rnacentral:rRNA from 1 species